AGCCAGCCGUCUGAUGGAAUGCCUAACGACGAUAUCAGAGCUAUUUUUCAAUAACGGUGUUCCGGAUGUUUAUACACACGGGGACUGAGAAGAGCUACGAUCAACAUACGCAACUCGAGCAUGUUCAUCAUCGAUUUAGUUCCAAGGGUCAAUUGGCUCUCUUGUCUGGUUGUCAUCCAGGAUCUAAGAUUCUGCUUUGGAUUGCCGCUAGUCUACGCCUUCUCCUAGUGCCUUACUCAACGCGAGCAAAGGUUCGCUGAAGUAGACAAUCAAUUUCCCGCUACAAGUUAUGUAAGGACAAGCGCCUUCAUUGGUCUAGCGAGGGGAGUAUUUUUGUUAGAUGCCGAAAGAACUAUGAUAAACAUCAUGCACGCUGCUACUUCCUUGCGCCCUCGCGUAAGACCCCGACAUGCUGAUGCUAACGCUGACUCAGUGUCCGCGCGCGAAGGGGAACAUGGACGUUCAUUGAUUGAGUCUUGCGAUUCAGCCCGCUCGUAGUCAACGUUAAACAUAGGCGUAUGCUCUGUGUGCCCAUGCCCAAAUGAACUAAGUAACGCCAAAAAUCGAACGGCCCCU